rnacentral:lncRNA from 1 species
CAGGAAUUUAUCAUACCUGGUUAGAAGUUUCAGAUUGUAUUAAGAAUUUUCCAAAUCCUCUUUACAAAGGAUUUUAUUCAAUUUCAGAAGUAUUAGAAGAAUGUAGAAAAUUUAUAGGUGCAAAUUAUUUUAUUGUUCCUUCUUUAAAAAAUGUUUCAGAUCAACCUUUAGAUUAUUCUUCAAGAUUUUGUGAUCAUUGUGAAUGUAUGACAAAGAACUUUAAGAUUUUAAAUGAAUCAAACCAGAUUUUACAACAAGAGAAAUUAGUUUUACAAAAGAAAAUCUCUGAUUUAGAACAAGAGAUUAUUAAUUUAAAAAUUUUAAACCCUAUUUCUCAGACAGAAGCAGGUACUAUAGAGCCCAAGAAUUCUAUAGCUAGUCCAGCUCAAACGGAAGCUGGUAAAGACUUAUCAAAUCCGUUUAUGGUUCUGGGCUUACCAAAAGCUCAACAGACUCAGAGGACUGUUGAUUCCUCUACUUCUCAGACUCAACAGGCUGAAAAUCCUGUUACAUUUAAUUCAGAAGAACGGACACAGCAGACUGAUAAUUCUGCUACUAGAUUUAUUAGUCCAAUAGAUCUUAAACAGAAAAGCCCAAUUAAUUUUCCAAGACCAUUCCAAUCAGCUCAGGAUCCAGAACAGAUUUCUCAGUCAGAUGUUAGAAAGAUCAAAGAAAUGUUUGAUAAGAUUGAGGAGAUUCAGC